GUGUGUUACUUGCAGGCUUCUCCGCUUUGAGCUCAGUUCAACACCCCAUUUCUUGUAAACUUCUUCUUUUUCCUUCUUUCCAAACUUGUUUGGUAUUUGCUUAGCUAACCAUUCUCUCUCGUGUGUUAGUGCUUUGGCAGUUUGUUUCCUCGAUGUCUCAGGCGAGUCCUUUAGAAAUGAUAGUCUUCGGAGUUCGACUUCCAUGUAAACAAAGUCCGAUGGAUCGCCUUUGAAGAGCAAGAAAAAGUAUGUUCUGUGAACCAAAGGUACGUUACAUACUUCCCAAAGCUCGAUUAUUUGGCUUUGUUGUCUCUCAAAUUCUGUUUUCUCGCCGCCAUCAUCUGUGUUUUCUGGCUUCAUUGUCUUUGUUUCAGUAUCGCUAUGCGUGGAAUGUUGCUGCAUUGUCCUUUCUCUAAGUCCUGCCAUAAAUUCAUGGAAGCUACUACCGCUAGUCUCU
rnacentral:lncRNA from 1 species